GCCUAUAAAUGAUAAUGUUACUAGCUUCCUUGUGCUUGAUAGGGGCAGAAGGAAUUUUCGGUUGAGCGGUGAAAUGCAUAGAGACAAAAAAAAAAAAAAAAAAAAAGCAAACCAAUGAUGAAAGUACUCUGUUGGAUCAACAUUGACAAUAAGAGACGAAAGCUCAGGGGGCGAAUGUGAUUAGAUAUUCGAGUAGUAUAGCCAUAAAUGAAGGAUAAUAGGUGAUGUGUGUAUCAAUUGUAUAGUAUCUUAUCUAACAAGUUAAGUAUCU
rnacentral:rRNA from 1 species